rnacentral:ncRNA from 3 species
CAGCAGCACACUGUGGUUUGUAC